ensembl:snoRNA
GUGUCCUUUUAAGGUUGUUGUGGUACGUAGCAAUUUCUAUAAAACCCAGAAAGGAGAUUGUACACCUCCUAUUUGGAUCCUGUCUGGAGUCACAGAU